GGAUGGGUGGCCGAGUGGUUGAAGGCACCGCACUUGAAAUGCGGUAGGUGGUUAAGUCUGCCUCGCGGGUUCGAAUCCCGCCCCAUCCGCCA
rnacentral:tRNA from 2 species